GUAUUCAGCUCAUGCAUGGCAUUCUCCCAGGACUGUUUGCUGUUCCUGGAACACACUGAGCAAUUCUAUGCAAUCAGGUUUUUGUGCUGGAUCCAGACUGGUGCCCGUGUCUCUUCUUUUUGAAAUCUCAUCUGUCUGUUUCAGCCUAAUUCAAACUCCCAGAUUUGAAAACAAUCACUUUUGUGAAUAUGUUGAAAGCACAUCUCAUUUGAAGCCUGCUUGUAUUUCUUAACUUCAAAGUGGGGAGUCACUGUGUUCAUAAAAUAAUGGUCCAUUGAGAUUGGCAACGCAGAAGCUUGAUAGAGGAACUGGAUCUUCAUCAUCCAAAAAACUAUCAGUUUGUUUCUUCAGUAGAGAGUGCAUGGCCUUGGUAAUUGCCUGUGGAUACAAGUAAAGUUUGAACCAUAGAAUCAACUCCAGUACUUCUUGAUAAGUCAUCAGAGAAGCAAAGCAGCUAGCCACCAGAGAACUCUUACCUCUACCAAGGUUGGAAGGGAUCCUGUCCUCACCACGGCUGGUGACUAAUUGCCCAAAGACUGACUACUGAAUGCCCUGCUCCUAUCUUUUAUACUUCUCUAGUGCUGAGAUUAAAGGUGUGAGCUCUGUUUA